CUGAUAAAAUGAUAAUUUAUUUCAAUGUGUUUAGACCUAGAGUGUUGAAUAGGUUUUUUUCUUACAAAUAAAUAACACUUGUAUCAUUAGUCAAAGAGGUUUACCUCUUUAGUGUCUGAGUUUGUCAUUAGACAAAUUUAUUUCCUCAUCCUCAACUUCUCGGUUUGAGUUUUUAGAGUCAUCCUAGGAGAUCAUCAUUUAUUUCUUUUUAAAAUGAGGUCAUUUUUUAGUCAUUUUACCUUAAGGAAAUUCAGUUUUAAAGUGUCCUAUCUUUUUGAAUCCAUAACAUACAAUGUUACAUUUGUCUAAUUCAAUUUUAUAUGGAUCUCUUAUAUUUUAAAAUAUUUUUUUAUUUUGAUUUAUUCUUAACACCAUUUGAUAUGGAUCCUUCGAGAAGUCAACGCCUAAUCUUCUUCAUCCUCAGAGUGUGGUACUGUCAGCUCCUCUUAAUUUUGGUCAUGGUUUUGUAAAAAGAUGAUUUCAUUUUGAGCAUCUAGGUUUGAGAGAAUUUGAGAGUAAUCAUUUUUCCUUUCUUUUCUGGUUUGAGAGAAUUUGAGAGUAAUCAUUUUUCGUUUUACCUUGAAACAUAACAUGGACUUUGUUUGUGUUCUUGAAGAAGAAGGAUUAGUAUGUGAUAAAAUGAUAAGUUAGUGUAAAGUCUGUGAGGAUGUGAAUGAAAGUAUAAUAAGUUAAAGGAAAGAGAAUAAAGAGAAGGGACACGCAAGAGUUAUAAUGGUUGAACAAAAAUGGUUACUCCAGUCCUCACAGUAUGUGAAGUUUUUUACUCAUACUUAAAAUAAUUUUUCUUGAGAGAGCUAUUUCUAUACCAUGUAUUCUUUUAGCCUCACCAAGCAUACACUCUUAAUGUUUCAGCUUUCAGAGAGCUUACACAAUUUUUCUACAAGUCUUUUUAUAUCACUUGACGAUAUAUUAUUACAAGAUUUGUUUUUAGAUAUACAAAGAUGAAUUCAAAUUUUCCGUAUGGUAGUGAGAGACUUAAUAAUGACUAUUUUAUAUAUUGGAUUGAUGAUCGAGAGAGAGAGAGAGAGAGAGAGAGAGAGAGAGAGAGAGAGAGGAGAGAGAGAGAGAGAGAGAGAGAGAGAGAGAGAGAGUAAUGUUGAAGCUUGAUAUGUUUUUAGUUCAAAACUUUCUUUUUGAUAUUCAACAUUUAUGCCUUAAAAGAGAGUGAAAGUUUUAAUUUAUAGAUGAAUUUUAAAUAAAUGUUUGAUCUUUUGAAAUGUACUACGUCUUUAUCCGUGAAAGGUAUCACAUAUUAAAAAUCUUCCAUAAGCUCGAUUUGGAUCCUAGAAUGGAAGUGAUUUUCCUUGGAACUUAUUCUCUUUUGAUAAAGUUGUUUUUCUUUAGCUUGAUGUUAAUAGUGAGAUGUCUUGUCAUGCUAAAGCCAAAUUGUCUUCUCAUUAUUCUAAAACGCAUUUGACUUUAUGUGAUCAUAACUAUGUAUCCUCAUCUCUGCUUUGUGAAUCCUCACGAGUGAUUUGGUUGUUAUAAUGGUGGAGAUACAAUUUAUAUGAAAGGAUCAUGAGCUCUUUGAACUUUGAAAUCAUGCCUUAUCAUAAUAUAUAAUUCAUGACGUUACAUAGAAUUUUUAAAAUAGUUUAUUAUCUUCAAAAUAAUUUAGAGUAUGUUUCAAUAAGAUUCUCUUAGAUAAUGUAGGGGGACUUGUAGUCUUUUGAGGGGAUUAUAGAGUCAAAUUCUCAUUUAUUUAUCACUUGUUAUUUAGUUUUGACUUUAUGAUAUAUAAUUUUUAGAUGAAUGGGUUGUUAUUUUCUAAUUAAUCAGGAGAUGUCGCAUUUUGAGACUUUUGGGUAUUUAUGAGUGUCAUUUAAGUUAAGAGAGGGGUUUUGUGAUGGUAUGCCACGUGAUGAUUUGGGUAAUCUGGAAGCCUCAGAAUAAUUUGGUUUUUUCUAGUAAAUUUGUUAAUGUGGAGGAUUUGGAGGAAACGAAUAUCACUUUGGCGUGAAAAAUAGUAUCAAGGAAAGCUUUUGAACUACUCUUACCCUUUAUUUGUUUGGUUGGAAACUCUACCUUAAUUAUGAGUGAAUAUCGACUUUCAGUGUUUAUGGAUUUCUUAAGGUGGAGUAACCUUCUUGUUUUUGUGGAGAUUUCUUCUUUGAUUGUUUGUGUUCUUUAUUGGGAUCUACAUGCAGUUUUAUUGGAGAGUAGAAUUCUCUUUUGUUUUUCCUAGUUAGUUGGUAUGUUUUAGAGGAGUGUUAUUAUUUUUGAGAUUUCUUUUUGAAACUUUGGGCUAGUUUGUUUUAGUGUUAAAAAAAUGGAUUUUUCUUUAUAUUUUUUAAAAUGAAUUCUAUAAAAAUAUUUUUUAAAAUA
rnacentral:lncRNA from 1 species